rnacentral:rRNA from 1 species
GACAGAGGGGGCAAGCGUUGCUCGGAAUCACUGGGCGUAAAGGGCGCGUAGGCGGGAUGGCAAGUCGGUCGUGAAAUCCUUCGGCUCAACCGAAGAACGUCGGCCGAUACUGCCGUUCUUGAGGGAUGCAGAGGAGAUUGGAAUUCCCGGUGUAGCGGUGAAAUGCGCAGAUAUCGGGAAGAACACCCGUGGCGAAGGCGGCACUCUGGGACGGUACUGGACGCUGAGACGCGAAAGCGUGGGGAGCCGAACGAG